UGACGUGACUUCUUCUGAUUGGUC
rnacentral:siRNA from 1 species